rnacentral:rRNA from 1 species
UACGGGGGGGGCAAGCGUUGUUCGGAAUUACUGGGCGUAAAGCGCUCGCAGGCGGCUCGAUGCGUCGUGCGUGAAACACCCCGGCUCAACUGGGGAGGGUCGUGCGAUACGGUCGAGCUUGAGGCCAGUAGGGGGAUGCGGAAUUCCGGGUGUAGUGGUGGAAUGCGUAGAGAUCCGGAGGAACACCAGCGGCGAAGGCGGCAUCCUGGACUGGUACUGACGCUCAUGAGCGAAAGCGAUGGGGAGC